GUGGCUGUAGCUCAGUUGGUAGAAGCCCCGGAUUGUGAUUCCGGUUGUCGUGGGUUCGAGCCCCAUCAGCCACCCCA
rnacentral:tRNA from 2 species